rnacentral:rRNA from 1 species
UACGAAGGGGGCUAGCGUUGCUCGGAAUUACUGGGCGUAAAGCGUGCGUAGGUGGUUUGUUAAGUCUGUUGUGAAAGCCCCGGGCUCAACCUGGGAAUGGCAUUUGGGACUGCAAGGCUGGAGUGCGGCAGAGGAGACUGGAAUUCCUGGUGUAGCAGUGAAAUGCGUAGAUAUCAGGAGGAACACCGAUGGCGAAGGCAGGUCUCUGGGCUGACACUGACGCUCAUGCACGAAAGCGUGGGGAGCAACAGG